UACAGAGGUCUCAAGCGUUGUUCGGAUUCAUUGGGCGUAAAGGGUGUGUAGGUGGCGCCGUAAGUCGGGUGUGAAAUCUCGGGGCUUAACUCCGAAACUGCAUUUGAUACUGCGGUGCUUGAGGACUGGAGAGGAGACUGGAAUUCAUGGUGUAGCAGUGAAAUGCGUAGAGAUCAUGAGGAAGACCAGUGGCGAAGGCGGGUCUCUGGACAGUCCUGACACUGAGACACGAAGGCCAGGGAGCAAACGGG
rnacentral:rRNA from 1 species